UUGUCUUUCGGGACAGAGAGAGCGGCGUACGGGUGCGGAACACGUGUGCAACCUGCCUUUAUCAGGGGGAUAGCCUUUCGAAAGGAAGAUUAAUACCCCAUAAUAUAUUGAUUGGCAUCAAUUAAUAUUGAAAACUCCGGUGGAUAGAGAUGGGCACGCGCAAGAUUAGAUAGUUGGUAGGGUAACGGCCUACCAAGUCAGUGAUCUUUAGGGGGCCUGAGAGGGUGAUCCCCCACACUGGUACUGAGACACGGACCAGACUCCUACGGGAGGCAGCAGUGAGGAAUAUUGGACAAUGGGUUAGCGCCUGAUCCAGCCAUCCCGCGUGAAGGACGACGGCCCUAUGGGUUGUAAACUUCUUUUGUAUAGGGAUAAACCUACUCUCGUGAGAGUAGCUGAAGGUACUAUACGAAUAAGCACCGGCUAACUCCGUGCCAGCAGCCGCGGUAAUACGGAGGGUGCAAGCGUUAUCCGGAUUUAUUGGGUUUAAAGGGUCCGUAGGCGGAUCUGUAAGUCAGUGGUGAAAUCUCACAGCUUAACUGUGAAACUGCCAUUGAUACUGCAGGUCUUGAGUGAGGUAGAAGUAGCUGGAAUAAGUAGUGUAGCGGUGAAAUGCAUAGAUAUUACUUAGAACACCAAUUGCGAAGGCAGGUUACUAUGUCUUAACUGACGCUGAUGGACGAAAGCGUGGGGAGCGAACAGGAUUAGAUACCCUGGUAGUCCACGCCGUAAACGAUGCUAACUCGUUUUUGGGUUUUCGGAUUCAGAGACUAAGCGAAAGUGAUAAGUUAGCCACCUGGGGGAGUACGAACGCAAGUUUGAAACUCAAAGGAAUUGACGGGGGNCCCGCACAAGCGGUGGAUUAUGUGGUUUAAUUCGAUGAUACGCGAGGAACCUUACCAAGGCUUAAAUGGGAAUUGAUCGGUUUAGAAAUAGACCUUCCUUCGGGCAAUUUUCAAGGUGCUGCAUGGUUGUCGUCAGCUCGUGCCGUGAGGUGUUAGGUUAAGUCCUGCAACGAGCGCAACCCCUGUCACUAGUUGCCAUCAUUAAGUUGGGGACUCUAGUGAGACUGCCUACGCAAGUAGAGAGGAAGGUGGGGAUGACGUCAAAUCAUCACGGCCCUUACGCCUUGGGCCACACACGUAAUACAAUGGCCGGUACAGAGGGCAGCUACCUAGCGAUAGGAUGCAAAUCUCGAAAGCCGGUCUCAGUUCGGAUUGGAGUCUGCAACUCGACUCUAUGAAGCUGGAAUCGCUAGUAAUCGCGCAUCAGCCAUGGCGCGGUGAAUACGUUCCCGGGCCUUGUACACACCGCCCGUCAAGCCAUGGAAGUCUGGGGU
rnacentral:rRNA from 1 species